GCCGAGCCAAGUAACGGUGGCUUGUGACCCGAGUGGGGGCAUUAAGGUGAUGGAACAAGCGUUAUUGGGCUCAGGGUGGUGUGUUGCAAAAUAAAGGGUGGUGCACUUUG
rnacentral:SRP_RNA from 1 species